rnacentral:lncRNA from 1 species
ACUUCCGUCUGCGUGGGGCCCACAUCCUGGAGCGCCCAGGCUUCCGAGGGGCAGACGGUGGGACCUGGUCCGGGCUGAGGUCCUGGCGGGUGAGCAGGAUCUUCGCCGUGCGGCGCAGAGGGUGACAGUGGAGAAGGUGACCAGAAGCCAGAAGGAGCCUAUGUGAAAGAUUAGCCCUGAGCUACCAUAUGCUGCCAAUCCUCCUGUUUUUGCGAGGAAGACUGGCCCUGAGCUAACAUCCAUGCCCAUCUUCCUCUACUUUAUAUGUGGGAUGCCUGCCUCAGCAUCGCUUGCCAAGAAGUGCCAUGUCCGCACCCAGGAUCCGAACCAGAGAACCCUGGGCCGCCGAAGUGGAACAUGUGCACUUAACUGCUGCACCACCAGGCUAGCCCCUCUGUGACUGUGUAUAGCACGCAAUGAAUACUUACAGCAUCCACAUGUCUGCUUCCACCAGGACCCAGGACUUCUCCAUGAAGACUUUCUAGACUUGUCUAUUCAAAGAUAAUCAUUCCCAACGGCAAACAAUUCUCAUCCUUCUUUAACACUUGGAACGUUGCC